rnacentral:rRNA from 1 species
AUGUUCUAUUCUAUUCAAUCUCAUAUAUACCGUUUUCAUUACAAACAAAUAUCUUUCUUAUUUCUCACAGUAACAGUUCUCUCAACACAUGCUCCACAGCACGACGACGACGACGAGCAUCCGGAGAAAUCAUCUGCGUACAUCCUAAAGACUGGUGAUGGAGAUGCUACCCAGUGCAUGAGUGGAUUCAUAGCCAUGGACAUUCUUCCUCCCUGUGGGCCUAUCCGAAUUCUGGGCGAUAUAUUCAUGGGAGCCUACCAUGCCGUAUUCGACUAUGGCAACAUGAAGGUUGGGUUCGCGAAGGCAGCAUAG